GUGAGGAAUAUUGGUCAAUGGACGGAAGUCUGAACCAGCCAUGCCGCGUGCAGGAAUAAGGUCCUAUGGAUUGUAAACUGCUUUUAUUCGGGAAUAAACCUCUUUACGUGUAGGGAGCUGAAGGUACCGAAGGAAUAAGCACCGGCUAACUCCGUGCCAGCAGCCGCGGUAAUACGGAGGGUGCAAGCGUUAUCCGGAAUCAUUGGGUUUAAAGGGUCCGCAGGCGGGCUAUCAAGUCAGAGGUGAAAUCCCACAGCUUAACUGUGGAACUGCCUGUGAAACUGAUGGUCUUGAAUUAAGUGGGCGUUGGCGGAAUAUGACAUGUAGCGGUGAAAUGCAUAGAUAUGUCAUGGAACACCGAAAGCGAAGGCAGCUAACGAUACUUAUAUUGACGCUCAUGGACGAAAGCGUGGGUAGCGAACAGGAUUAGAAACCCGGGUAGUCC
rnacentral:rRNA from 1 species